CCUACGGGAGGCAGCAGUGAGGAAUAUUGGUCAAUGGGCGCGAGCCUGAACCAGCCAAGUCGCGUGAGGGAUGAAGGUUCUAUGGAUCGUAAACCUCUUUUAUAAGGGAAUAAAGUGUGGGACGUGUCCUAUUUUGUAUGUACCUUAUGAAUAAGGAUCGGCUAACUCCGUGCCAGAAGCCGCGGUAAUACGGAGGAUCCGAGCGUUAUCCGGAUUUAUUGGGUUUAAAGGGUGCGUAGGCGGGCUUUUAAGUCAGCGGUGAAAGGCUGUGGCUCAACCAUAGAAUUGCAGUUGAAACUGGGGGGCUUGAGUAUGUGAGAGGCAGGCGGAAUGCGUGGUGUAGCGGUGAAAUGCGUAGAUAUCACGCAGAACCCCGAGUGCGAAGGCAGACUGCCAAGCCAUGACUGACGCUGAUGCACGAAAGCGUGGGGAUCAAACAGGAUUAGAUACCCGGGUAGUC
rnacentral:rRNA from 1 species